AGUGUGUGUGUUAGUGGAAGCGUCUGGAAAGGCGCGCGAUACAGGGUGACAGCCCCGUACACAAAAAUGCACAUACUGUGAGCUCGAUGAGUAGGGCGGGACACGUGGUAUCCUGUCUGAAUAUGGGGGGACCAUCCUCCAAGGCUAAAUACUCCUGACUGACCGAUAGUGAACCAGUACCGUGAGGGAAAGGCGAAAAGAACCCCGGCGAGGGGAGUGAAAAAGAACCUGAAACCGUGUACGUACAAGCAGUGGGAGCACGCUUAGGCGUGUGACUGCGUACCUUUUGUAUAAUGGGUCAGCGACUUAUAUUCUGUAGCAAGGUUAACCGAAUAGGGGAGCCGAAGGGAAACCGAGUCUUAACUGGGCGUUAAGUUGCAGGGUAUAGACCCGAAACCCGGUGAUCUAGCCAUGGGCAGGUUGAAGGUUGGGUAACACUAACUGGAGGACCGAACCGACUAAUGUUGAAAAAUUAGCGGAUGACUUGUGGCUGGGGGUGAAAGGCCAAUCAAACCGGGAGAUAGCUGGUUCUCCCCGAAAGCU
rnacentral:rRNA from 1 species